AACGUAGGAGACAAGCGUUAUCCGGAGUUACUGGGCGUAAAGGGCGUGCAGGUGGUUGAGUAAGUCUGUUGUGAAAGCGCCUGGCUUAACCGGGCGAGGCCAAUGGAGACUGCUGAACUGGAGGACGGUAGAGGGGUGUGGAAUUCCGGGUGUAGUGGUGAAAUGCGUAGAGAUCCGGAGGAACACCAGAGGCGAAGGCGGCACCCUAAGCCGUACCUGACACUGAGACGCGACAGCACGGGGAGCGAACGGG
rnacentral:rRNA from 1 species